rnacentral:rRNA from 1 species
UACAGAGGUCUCAAGCGUUGUUCGGAUUCACUGGGCGUAAAGGGUGCGUAGGUGGUGAGGUAAGUUUGAUGUGAAAUCUCCGGGCUCAACCCGGAAAUGGCAUUGAAUACUAUCUUGCUAGAGGAGUGGAGGGGGGACUGGAAUACUUGGUGUAGCAGUGAAAUGCGUAGAGAUCAUGAGGAAGACCAGUGGCGAAGGCGGGUCUCUGGACAGUUCCUGACACUGAGACACGAAGGCCAGGGGAGCAAACGGG